UGUUUAGAGCUAGUGAUAAGUGUCAGAAGGAGAAGAGGAAGACGAUUAAUGGUGAUGAUUUGCUGUGAGUGAUGGUUUCCCUUCUCUCACUUUCUCACGAUUUCUUCUCCAAAGGGUAUUUGUCUGUGAGCCCAAGUUAGAGGUCAGUUUGUCACUCUGUGGUUUGUGAGGCUGCUCCAACCAAGAGGCUCAAUUAUGUCGAAAAGCAAGCUCUCCAAGCUGAGAAAAGGUGCAUUUACAACCAGUCCAAAAAGUCUGAGAUCAAAACCAGGUUAAAGAAGAGAAGAGGGGCUGGACAGAGGUCAACUAACAGGGCUGGUCACUUGGAUGUCGUUGAUUGCUUUCUUCGUUCCCGUGAUGUUUACCCACUCUCCAUUCAACUCUAGAUUUACCAUUUUCUCUCUACUCCACAUUUGUGAUCAAGGCUCGUCAUGGUUUCAAUGAGAUAGCAUUAGAGGGCAGAACUUCAAGUAGCAAUGAGUUAAAGGUUCUCAUUUUUGGUAGUCGAGAAUACAGGACAACUAAGAUGCUAAAGAAUUUGUUCAAGGAAUUUGCCAACCAUCAAUGCAGACUUUAUAAGAGGCCUGUUUUGAAACAAUAUGUAUUUGUAUCAACUUUUGAAAUCCCA